rnacentral:rRNA from 1 species
GAUGAAUGCUGGCGGCGUGCCUAAUACAUGCAAGUAGAACGCUGAAGGAGGAGCUUGCUCUUCUGGAUGAGUUGCGAACGGGUGAGUAACGCGUAGGUAACCUGCCUGGUAGCGGGGGAUAACUAUUGGAAACGAUAGCUAAUACCGCAUGACAACAGUUAUUGCAUGAUAACUGUUUAAAAGGGGCAACUGCUCCACUACCAGAUGGACCUGCGUUGUAUUAGCUAGUUGGUGAGGUAACGGCUCACCAAGGCGACGAUACAUAGCCGACCUGAGAGGGUGAUCGGCCACACUGGGACUGAGACACGGCCCAGACUCCUACGGGAGGCAGCAGUAGGGAAUCUUCGGCAAUGGACGGAAGUCUGACCGAGCAACGCCGCGUGAGUGAAGAAGGGUUUCGGAUCGUAAAGCUCUGUUGUAAGAGAAGAACGAGUGUGAGAGUGGAAAGUUCACACUGUGACGGUAUCUUUCCAGAAAGGGACGGCUAACUACGUG